GGGAUCGCGAAUCAUUUGAACCAGUUCGGGAGUUCGUAGCGGGUUAGCGAAAGCAUCGAUUCAACGUCGAAAACACGUUGACUCAUCAACCGACACAGCCUAUGCAUCUGAUCGAAAUCAUAGUCGGAUCUAUGUUGAAACUUGAUCAGAGGCAUCGGAGAUCUGCGCGUGCACUCUCACAGAAAAAAAAAGGAGAAAAACUAAAUGUAUUUUUCUUCAUUAUUUUAUAUAGCCUUGUGGGGUGUCCAUCUGCCACUGAAUGUGUAUUUUUUUAAGGAAACAAACGGUGAGAAAACAAAUAGAGUGCAAGCGUUAGAGGGUCAAGUCAACUAUUAGGUCUCACAGUAUACACACACAAGCAGAGUGUUUCUGUAAAAUUAAAUAAAUGUAAAUUCGGCGUGUUUUAAUGAGCGCGCGCUGAACAUUGGAGUAGCUUUCAUUCAGAUUCAAACACUGGAGCGGAGGGAGUUGCCAUGGAAACGUGGCAAUCGACAACACUGUCAAGCUGCAGCUCUGUUUCUCACUGCUGUUUUCACUGCUUUCGAUUCUUCUAGUGUUUGAUGGCCUUCUGCAUUCCAGAGUCUGAGCAAACCUCCUGUCCAACAACAUCUCCAAGGCACACUGAACCAAAUGACUAGCAGGCCAUCCUGCUCUCACAGUACACACCUUGUUCUCACACAGUGACAAGGGGAAUAGAGGAAACUGACAACACACAGACAGAAGAAGACAGAGAAGGUCACUUCUGAACCAUCAAAGUCCUCAUCUUCUGUGUCUGAAUUGAACAGCUGGGCAGCAGCUUUUGAACAGCUUUCACCAUCAAACAUGCCGGGUUCCCUCUCAUCAUGGUUUAUCCUGCCAGAAUACGUAGUCCUCGCGUGUGGAGACUUCAGAAGAUGUCAGACCUCACAAAGAUUUCAGAUGAUGGAAACUAUAGAUGAACAUGCAAAGUUGCUAAAUAAUCCCUAUAAAUUAAUCAUUGCCCUAAAAGAUUCUUCUAGUGUUUGAUGGCCUUCUGCAUUCCAGAGUCUGAGCAAACCUCCUGUCCAACAACAUCUCCAAGGCACACUGAACCAAAUGACUAGCAGGCCAUCCUGCUCUCACAGUACACACCUUGUUCUCACACAGUGACAAGGGGAAUAGAGGAAACUGACAACACACAGACAGAAGAAGACAGAGAAGGUCACUUCUGGUAUUAAACAAGUUUUCAGCUCUCAAAUUUGGUCCCUUUUUUUUUUUAAAGAAAUUCAAACAAUAAAUAGUGUUUUGUGCUGUUUUAAUAUGUUACAGAUCACUGUAGUGCCUCAGUUCAGCAGCACACAUGAACCGAUUGAUUUAUAUUUAAUUUAAGCACAAAAUAAAAGAUGUCACACGUCUUUAUACAACAUUUUUCAAGUUUAAGUCCACACGAAAUUAAUCUACUUUCCUGUCUACCGUAUUUUCUGCACCAUAAGGUGCACUGGAUUAUAUGGCGCAGUCUCAAAACUGUGAGUUUAGUUCUACUUUAUUCUACUAUUUAACAAUACACCCACAUUAUUUUUUAAUCAAUUUUCUCCCACAGAACCAUCAAAGUCCUCAUCUUCUGUGUCUGAAUUGAACAGCUGGGCAACAGCUUUUGAACAGCUUUCACCAUCAAACAUGCCGGGUUCCCUCUCAUCAUGGUUUAUCCUGCCAGAAUACGUAGUGUAGGUAUUACAUCCCUGUGUCAGCGGGAAAUGGUCCGACAGUCAGCCUCGCGUGUGGAGACUUCAGAAGAUGUCAGACCUCACAAAGAUUUCAGAUGAUGGAAACUAUAGAUGAACAUGCAAAGCUGCUAAAUAAUCCUUAUAAAUUAAUCAUUGCCCUAAAAGGGAGGAACUUGUCAGCAAAUCUACUUCACAGCACAUCAGUGAAAGCAGUUGACAGUUACAAACGUGUGUGUUGGAUCAGGGUCAGAUCUGAAUUCUGAUGGUUUCCUGUGAUGACUGUUGAAGAGAUCAGCGCAUCAGAUGUUGGCCUGGACAGCUGUACACCUACAGUACACCACACUGACUUCUUUGCAUGGAUAGCUGACUACUACUAUGUUCUGUAAAGGUAUUAUUAUAGCAAACCUGAGCACCUGUGACAGUGGAAAUGUUGUAAUGAAUAGUCACACAUGCAAAUUUGUAAAUUGAAAGUCACAGAUACAUAUAUAUAUAUUUUACUAAUUCUCUUCAGCAAACACAACACAACAGUUACACCAUUUCAUAUUCAGAGGUGCACAAACCUUAUUCUACAAAUAAGAGAACAACAGCAUAGACCCUUUGCACGUGACGUCACCCUCUACUUGCGCGAAUUGUGAACGCCAUGACGAACGGCAGAAGAGCUUUGCUGUAGGACGGACGGCAAGCCAAACGAGUACGAGUUUGUGUUCGUUCAUGUAAUAAAAAUGUUUGUUUUGUUUUUUUACUUGUAAGCACAGUGCAGUGAUAAUGGUCAAACUGUGUAUUUACAAUGUUAAAGUGGCCGACAACAAUAAAUAUUCUCUUUAGGAAUAAAACUGCAAUGUUUUUUAACUGUGCAGAGCAGUAACGUAAGCUGAAUAGUUAAGCCUACUACGCUACUGUAAUUUUAAUAUUGGUCAUUGUGGAGGUACUUGGACGGCCAAAUAUUUUCUGAGGUGGUACUUGGUAUAAAACGUUAUAGAUCAACUGCAUUAGAAAGUUGCAUUGGCACAGUGAACAACGGUAACUUAAGUGGGUAGCCACAAAUGACCAGGUCCUCUAAAAACAGGUUACAUUACGUUACAAAGAACUGGUAAGCAUCCAGGCUUUUAAAAGCUUUGACAUCAGCACCAGUGUAUGUGGAUACCCCGUUUACCACAUAGUGGUACAGAUUGUGGGGAAUGAAGUUGGGUAGACUCUGUGAUUUAAUGAGGUCUGUGAAAAUGGAGGGAAAAGGUAAGGAUCGGUAUCCAAUCCUACGAUCUCCAAGUUCUCCAAAUACCGUUCUUUGUGAGCACCUACCAGAUGCCGUACCUUGACCGAUAACGACACCACAGCUUGUUCAAUAGAAGAAGCCAUAAAGUUUAGUGUUAUUUAUUUUAAACUGAAUGAAACUUCCCUCUCGUCCACUACUAUUUAGCUUGUGCUUCCGGUGAUUCUGCCGUCUGUCAUGGCGUCGUCGCAUGGUCGUAGUCACGUGUUUGCAAAGGGUCUAUAAAAGUGCUCAGUUUAGCCCCUUUCACACUGAGAUUCUAGAUACUACAUGGGUAAUGUGUCCUGCCAAUUGUUCCCGGAUCGUUCAAUUUUGGUUCAUUCACACUGCCAGUGAUUUUCUGGAAUCUGUGUGUGCGUUCACACACAAACCAUAAAGAUCCCAUAAAGACACAUGACAUUACGAUGUGACGUGUUUUGUUUCACUUAAGCUGGCGAACGAUGUCAGCCUCAGAACGGAUAUUGUGGAACUAACUGAUCUCUGCUUCAUUACAAUUUGCACAUAUUUUUUCGUCACAAACAUUGAUCUGCCUUUUUUUUGGGACCACCGUGCAUUGUGAAAGGGGCUUUAGUCUAGCAUACUACAAAUAAGUUAUUUAUUUACUAUUAUUAUUAUUUUACAAAUUAGAGCAAAUUGAAUGGAAAUUAAUUGAAUAGAAAAGGUAAGUGCUUUGGAAAUAACAGAAGACUCAGCUGCUCAAAUUAAUAAAGGCAGGUCAUUCUACCAUGAUCUUCUCUACAAAUAUUACUAUUCUCAUAAAGUCUGUAAAUAUGUCCAAUAAACACAUUUCAGUAAAAAAACUAUUCAAUAAUAUGAGCAAAAUGAAAUGCAGCCCUGCAUAAAUCUGGUGUAACUGAGGCUGUGAAUUUGUUAAUUUGUAGAAUAGGAUUUAUGCACCUGUAGAGAAGAUUUUGAGAAGGUUUUGUUGUGUUUGUGAGAGAGAAAGAAACAAAAUACAAGCUUGCAACUCCGAAAACACUUUCUUGAUGAUUUAUUGAAAUAUUCUCUACAAAUACAAAUUCCAAUGUCACAAGUGCUCAAUUUUGUUAUAAUAAUGUACAAAGUGUCUCGAUUGUACAGUAGAUGUACUGUAUGCAAAUAUAACAAAGGGACAUUAAUAACUGAAUAUUCAGGGGAUGCAAACUUACCACUUUUAAGUAAAAAUUUACAUUUUGAAUCCAAAAAUCAUUUGCAUGUUUUGUGUAGAUCCAAAGAGUUUUUAAAAGCUUAUUAGUUAAAUAGCACAUGCUAAAU